rnacentral:rRNA from 1 species
UACGUAGGGGGCUAGCGUUGUCCGGAAUCAUUGGGCGUAAAGCGCGUGUAGGCGGUCCGGUAAGUCCGCUGUGAAAGUCGAGGGCUCAACCCUCGAAUGCCGGUGGAUACUGUCGGGCUAGAGUACGGAAGAGGCGAGUGGAAUUCCUGGUGUAGCGGUGAAAUGCGCAGAUAUCAGGAGGAACACCGAUGGCGAAGGCAGCUCGCUGGGACGGUACUGACGCUGAGGCGCGAAAGCGUGGGGAGCAAACAGG